UGUAUUGAUGGUUCUUGAGAUAACGUAAGGGAUAAAAAUGAUAUUACCUUACUAUAAGUGUUGUCCAACAUUACUGGUGCCAGAAGACUCGGUAACGCCAGAAACGCAAACGUUAGUCGUCCUAAACAGGCGUAAAGGGUAAGUAGGCUGCUUUGAAAGUUUUUAAUUAGAAAGCUCUUAAAAAAAAUUAAAGUAAUUAAUAAUGAAUUAAAGCUAGAAUCAAAUAGGGGAUAAGCCAAAUAAUAUUUAGUGUAAGGCUAAUAUCUUUAGAUACUAAAUGGAAUACUAAGGUGAAAACUUUUAUCUACUAAUGAUUGACGCUGAGGAACGAAGGUGAGAAUAGAAAACAGGAUUAGAGACCCAGGUAUCUCUCACUGUCAACGAUGAAUGGUAGUUGUUAGUUAACAAUUUUAACUAGUAACGAUGUUAACGCGUUAACCAUUCCGCCUUGCGAGUAC
rnacentral:rRNA from 1 species